UACGUAGGGUGCAAGCGUUAAUCGGAAUUACUGGGCGUAAAGCGUGCGCAGGCGGCUAUGCAAGACAGAUGUGAAAUCCCCCGGGCUCAACCUGGGAACUGCAUUUGUGACUGCAUAGCUAGAGUACGGUAGAGGGGGAUGGAAUUCCGCGUGUAGCAGUGAAAUGCGUAGAUAUGCGGAGGAACACCGAUGGCGAAGGCAAUCCCCUGGACCUGUACUGACGCUCAUGCACGAAAAGGCGUGGGGAGCAAACAGG
rnacentral:rRNA from 1 species